AUGGUGCGUAACCAGUUUGGCAUGAAUGUGAAAAUAUUACGCUCCGAUAAUGGUACCGAAUAUAUCAAUGGUAAAUUUAGUAAUUUCUUGUCUUCUUAUGGUAUUAUACAUCAAACAACUCGCGUGAAUACUGCAGAACAAAAUGGUGUGGCAGAGAGAAAGAAUAGACAUCUACUGGAAGUUGCUCGAGCUCUCAUGUUCAUGAUGAAUGUGCCAAAAUUCCUUUGGGGAGAAGCGGUCAAAACUGCUGCCUAUCUAAUAAACCGUAUGCCUUUUAGAGUUUUGGGCCAUAAGACUCCUAUUGAAUGUUUGCAGGGCUCUAACUCAUUUAUUGUGCCACCAAAAAUAUUUGGAUGUACCUGUUUUGUUCAUGAUUACAGGAGUUCAGCAGGAAAACUUGAUCCAAGAGCCAUCAAAUGUAUCUUUGUGGGCUAUUCUCCCACAAAAAAGGGAUAUCGGUGUUGGUCGCCUACUGAAAGGAAAUUGUUUGUGAGUAUGGAUGUUACCUUUCACGAAAAAGAACCAUUCUAUUCCUUAAAAGGAAAUGAUAAUGAUACAGGUAGCAAGGGGGAGAAUAUCAUAGAAGAGAACAAUGAUAGGGGAACUGUAAUAAUACCUAUCAGGGAUAUCAUACGCUCAGAAGAUGAAACCGAGGGGGAGAAAACUGCCAAUACAACUGUAGAAGGCGAUAAUACAUUAAUAUCUGAUGCGUAUGAAAAUCUUUCAGGUCAACAGGAGAUGCAGAAGGUGUACCGCAGGAAGUUGAUGAAGAAGUUGUGA
rnacentral:rRNA from 1 species